CCCCUCUCCUUUUCUUUUUAGAAUUUGAUUCAAAAAUCUACAAUAUUCUAUAGAAAAAAGGAAAAUGGCUUCGAUCAAUCCAUUUUUUGAAUUUGUGGCUACAUACCGUAGAAAACAUCGAGCCCUAAAACAACAACGCGUAAUCGUAUCAAAAGCAGCGGUUUCGUGGAAGGCUUUAUCAAAAUCUCAAAAAAAUCGCUACCGCAAAAAGGCGAGCGAUGAACGCCAUCGGCGUCGUAGAAAUGCUGAUAAGAAAGCCAGGAAAAACCGAUAAUGGCAGUGAUGCCAACGAUGCCGUGCUCUACGCUACCGUUGGCCCCGAAAGAGUAGAGAUUUGAAGCUCAAUUCUGCCUGCUUUUCAAAAUUCACAGCUUUGCAUUCGUUAUACCAAAUUAGCAUUUUAUGCACUGCUUUUGUUUUUAUUGGUUUCGAAAUUAUCAUCCUCUGUCUUUUUAGUAAACAAAAUAAUCAGUUUUUUGUCAGAACAUUCCAAAUAAAGGUUCAAAUAUAGAAUGCCAUACCUCGUUGAGCUCGUAACAAAAUGUCCAAUAAAACGGUGUUAAAAACUGGA